rnacentral:rRNA from 1 species
CCAGACUCCUACGGGAGGCAGCAGUGGGGAAUAUUGCACAAUGGGGGAAACCCUGAUGCAGCGACGCCGCGUGAGCGAAGAAGUAUCUCGGUAUGUAAAGCUCUAUCAGCAGGGAAGAAAAUGACGGUACCUGACUAAGAAGCCCCGGCUAACUACGUGCCAGCAGCCGCGGUAAUACGUAGGGGGCAAGCGUUAUCCGGAUUUACUGGGUGUAAAGGGAGCGCAGGCGGCGCGGUAAGUCUGAUGUGAAAGCCCGGGGCUCAACCCCGGGACUGCAUUGGAAACUGUCGUGCUGGAGUGUCGGAGGGGCAAGUGGAAUUCCUAGUGUAGCGGUGAAAUGCGUAGAUAUUAGGAGGAACACCAGUGGCGAAGGCGGCUUGCUGGACGACAACUGACGCUGAGGCUCGAAAGCGUGGGGAGCAAACAGGAUUAGAUACCCUUGUA